AGAGCUUGAUCAUGGCUCAGAUUGAACGCUGGCGGCAGGCCUAACACAUGCAAGUCGAACGGUAACAGGAAGCAGCUUGCUGCUUCGCUGACGAGUGGCGGACGGGUGAGUAAUGUCUGGGAAGCUGCCUGAUGGAGGGGGAUAACUACUGGAAACGGUAGCUAAUACCGCAUAAUGUCGCAAGACCAAAGAGGGGGACCUUCGGGCCUCUUGCCAUCGGAUGUGCCCAGAUGGGAUUAGCUUGUUGGUGGGGUAACGGCUCACCAAGGCGACGAUCCCUAGCUGGUCUGAGAGGAUGACCAGCCACACUGGAACUGAGACACGGUCCAGACUGCUACGGGAGGCAGCAGUGGGGAAUAUUGCACAAUGGGCGCAAGCCUGAUGCAGCCAUGCCGCGUGUAUGAAGAAGGCCUUCGGGUUGUAAAGUACUUUCAGCGGGGAGGAAGGGAGUAAAGUUAAUACCUUUGCUCAUUGACGUUACCCGCAGAAGAAGCACCGGCUAACUCCGUGCCAGCAGCCGCGGUAAUACGGAGGGUGCAAGCGUUAAUCGGAAUUACUGGGCGUAAAGCGCACGCAGGCGGUUUGUUAAGUCAGAUGUGAAAUCCCCGGGCUCAACCUGGGAACUGCAUCUGAUACUGGCAAGCUUGAGUCUCGUAGAGGGGGGUAGAAUUCCAGGUGUAGCGGUGAAAUGCGUAGAGAUCUGGAGGAAUACCGGUGGCGAAGGCGGCCCCCUGGACGAAGACUGACGCUCAGGUGCGAAAGCGUGGGGAGCAAACAGGAUUAGAUACCCUGGUAGUCCACGCCGUAAACGAUGUCGACUUGGAGGUUGUGCCCUUGAGGCGUGGCUUCCGGAGCUAACGCGUUAAGUCGACCGCCUGGGGAGUACGGCCGCAAGGUUAAAACUCAAAUGAAUUGACGGGGGCCCGCACAAGCGGUGGAGCAUGUGGUUUAAUUCGAUGCAACGCGAAGAACCUUACCUGGUCUUGACAUCCACGGAAGUUUUCAGAGAUGAGAAUGUGCCUUCGGGAACCGUGAGACAGGUGCUGCAUGGCUGUCGUCAGCUCGUGUUGUGAAAUGUUGGGUUAAGUCCCGCAACGAGCGCAACCCUUAUCCUUUGUUGCCAGCGGUCCGGCCGGGAACUCAGAGGAGACUGCCAGUGAUAAACUGGAGGAAGGUGGGGAUGACGUCAAGUCAUCAUGGCCCUUACGACCAGGGCUACACACGUGCUACAAUGGCGCAUACAAAGAGAAGCGACCUCGCGAGAGCAAGCGGACCUCAUAAAGUGCGUCGUAGUCCGGAUUGGAGUCUGCAACUCGACUCCAUGAAGUCGGAAUCGCUAGUAAUCGUGGAUCAGAAUGCCACGGUGAAUACGUUCCCGGGCCUUGUACACACCGCCCGUCACACCAUGGGAGUGGGUUGCAAAAGAAGUAGGUAGCUUAACCUUCGGGAGGGCGCUUACCACUUUGUGAUUCAUGACUGGGGUGAAGUCGGAACAAGGUA
rnacentral:rRNA from 1 species